UAGAGUUUGAUCCUGGCUCAGAAUCAACGCUGGCGGCGUGCCUAACACAUGCAAGUCGAACGCGACUUAGGCUUCGGUCUAAGUUGAGUGGCGAACGGGUGAGUAACACGUGGGUGACCUACCUUCGAGUGGGGGAUAACGUCCCGAAAGGGACGCUAAUACCGCAUAACAUCCUGCCUUUGAACAGGUGGAGAUCAAAGCCGGGGAUCGCAAGACCUGGCGCUUGAUGAGGGGCCCGCGCCUGAUUAGCUAGUUGGUGGGGUAAUGGCUCACCAAGGCGACGAUCAGUAGCCGGCCUGAGAGGGCGGACGGCCACACUGGGACUGAGACACGGCCCAGACUCCUACGGG
rnacentral:rRNA from 1 species